UCCCGUGUGCGUUUAUUCACUUCCGAGAAAUCAUUCAUCAAAAGUUGCCACCACAUAGAUCCCAGUUCAGUCAAGGCAAUAGUAACCUACAAUGGUAACAAGUAAAAUUUUCUAGCACAACAACACCAAAAAAAAAUUUCCAAACCCUCAAAAAACGAAGGAAUUCCAAACACAUUUUACGUUUCCUGUAAACUAACAACCCCAUAACGAUCAGUGUUAUUGAUAAGAAAGCGUCAUACUCGUCAUGUUUAGUAGGGUCAAUGACGAUAGGAGCAAAUUUUCAAAUUUUCAUAAAAAUUCGGUUUUCAACACAACCCGUCACGUUUUUAUCACGCUCUUCCAAUUUUACAGCCUUUUACAUAAUCAAACUUCACAAUUGCAUGUAUAAACACAUACCUAUUUGACUUAAUCAACCAAACGUACUAGUAGCAGGUCGUCGUCAUGAACCAGAGAAUUCGUAAUUCAGAUCCAACUAAGCGAUGACUACUGUAUAAAUGAUGAAAAGACUCGGUCAACUGUCCAAACUGAAAUUUACAAACAGAAAAAUGGUUUUCGUCAAUUCAAUCGUUCAAAAAGUGCUCAAAGUAAACUUUUUAGCAAUUUCCUAAGUAGUUUCUUUCUUCUUAUGUUGUAAGUAAAGGGUAAGUUGUAAAUUCCUAGUGCCACACUUCCACCUGUUUCAAACAGAUGACGUCAUUGCAUCACUUUGCAUGAUUGAACUUAACCAAUCACGUGCGGGGCUCUGAAGAAGGGUAACAAGGAAAUGGGUCUGGAAUAAACCGAGCAAGACGAUACUUAAAGUACUGCUGUGUAGUUUUGUAUUUUGUGUUAUCGUAUCGUUAAGAAACGUAUCGAUAGUUUGGGGAAUGGGAAAGGAUGGACGGAAAGUAGGAUGUUAUUGGUAUAUCAUGGAGUGCGUGCUUUUUAAGCAAAUAUGAUGUUAGCAAUAUGUAGUAAAAAUGGUGAGUUUGUGUAUAGUGCCAUGAAUCUUAUUUCACUCUUAACUCAAGCUUAUUUUAUAUUAACCGAUGAAUGAAUAAAUAAUAUAUCUUUGAUGAAGCUAAAUCGUUGCGUGUAUUUCUGAUAUUAUGUUGUAUGUAGGUAAGUGUUUUAGGUUGGACUUCUGCGUGUUUGUAAGAUGUGUACGUACGCUGAGUAAUUAGCAAUGUAUGAAUAGAUCCAGCAGUUCCAGAAGACCUACGAAAAAAU